GUUUCUACUAUUUAGCUUGGGUAUGUGGUGAUGAGGCGUGCACAUGAAAGUUAUCUCAUUAAUUAUUAGUUUCUAAAGCUGCUAUCCUAAUUUUGUCGUUAUUUGCUACUGUAGCUAUUCAAUUAAUUAUAAAUGGAUAUCUUAGAAGAAAACAAAAACGGUCGGUCUUGUCACUUUUGUGUACCAAAUCCUCUAAAUCUUUUUAUUAUAAUAAUAGGAAUUUACGAAAAUCACCAAUAAUAAAGUUUACUUACCAAAAUAGCCGGUUUAUGCGUCAUUGGAACGUGGCAUCACCUCUCUUAUGUGUUCUUAAUUCUUUAAAUGGAUGCGUGUAUAGAUGAAGCAGCAAGUACGACAAUGAGAUGCAUGGGAUGAGUCACGGACGAAUGGGAUGAGUCACGGACGCAUGGGAUGAGUUGGCGCAUGAGAUGAUGGGACGGACGCAUGGGAAGAGUCACGGACGCAUGGGGAUGAGUCGGCAAUGCAUGGGAUGAUGGGAUGACUCAAAUCUCCUAAAAGUAAAUUUUAUGAGUCACGGACGCAUGGGAUAAGUCAUGGACGCAUGGGACGCAUGAUGUCAUUGAGAAACGUGUGACUUCUAUAUUGGCGGACGCAUGAAUGAGCCCUGCAGACGCAUAAGCUCUCUCGUAAUCAGUGAAGCCCUGCUCCACCGACGUAUGAGAUGACUAUUGUGGCAAGUGGCGACACUAAAACAUUAUUGUUUGAGAAUAUAGCCCAACUCAGGAACUAUAUAUGUACAGGAAUCAGGAACAUUUGAGUUUAUGUAGAACUAGUUGUUUUACCCGUUGCGCGUUGCAGCGGCGUCAUGUCCAACGUGAUAAAUUAUAGACUACAAUCAACCUAACUCAUUUUCGAACUAAAUUUACGCUGAAACGUAGAGUAAUUUGAAUUCAUACCGUUAAAUGAAAAUUUAUUAUAUUUGACCUUACUUAUUUCUAAACAAAAUAUACGUUGAAACGUAGACCAACUCAAAAGGACAUAAAAUAAACACGUGUAGCGGCAUCAUACACAACGUGAUAAAGUAUAGACUAUAAUCGAUUAGACUCGUUUCCGUACUAAAUUUACAUGGAAAUGUAUAGUAACUCAAAUUUAAACUGUCGAAUGAAAACGUAUUAUACCUGACCUCAUUUAUUUCCAAACAAUUUUUACGUCAAAACAUACAUAAAAUAAAACAUUUUAUAAUUAACCCGACUUGUUU
rnacentral:lncRNA from 1 species